UUAUCGGAGAGUUUGAUCCUGGCUCAGGACGAACGCUGGCGGCGUGCCUAAUACAUGCAAGUCGAGCGGACAGAUGGGAGCUUG
rnacentral:rRNA from 2 species